GGCGGAGUCAUAGUCCGUGAGGUUCUCUCUGGCGAGUCCAUUUGCAUUUGACGGAACGACACUGGCUCCUUUAGCGUUUCAAUGCGCAUGCAUAGCUACAUUUGAUCUAUUGUUAAGGAUUUAUCUCCUCUUCCCUCAGUAAAACGUGGACAUCUUACUGCGUGCGAAACCGUCGCUUUUGAAGGCCAGGAGACGCAAGAGCAGCGCAAGAGCCGUCAGCGCCAGCUCCAGGUUAUCGCCUUCAUUACAGUAGCAUUUUAUCAUCGAACCUAGGUUACACUUUUGCCACACGUUCGCUCAACUCGCCGUGCCGAAAAGAGGGGCAUCCGGACGCGCACGCCAGAGAACCCCGGGAACCCCGCCCAGCAAUGGAAGGUCCGCGUCGAGUGCCCUGGUGCCAAAUGGCAACUCAACCUGUACUUACACAUCAUGAGGCCAUCCGUCCCGUCGUCCAGGUUCAUGGUCAGCGAUCAACGAUUAAGUUGACCAUAACCCAAACCGUGCCAAUGUCAGGCCAGAGGAGCACAGCAACCAUAUGUUCCAUGCACCUCCCCCAACUUUUGGUAAACAGGGCUGCUUAGAACCUUCAACAUAGAUCAUGCUUCCCACAGCAGCAGCCGCUCUGUUGCAACCCUUUCCCCUUUCCCCAAGCCCCAAGUCAAUCACCCAAAGCCCCCCCUAGCCUCCGCACCCCACCAAACCAAUCCACGCCCACUAUACUAGCGCACCGCAGGCUGCGACCCCCAGAUGCAAGAUCCCAAGAAAUCACGCACAGCUUUCCAUGCAAAGCGACGCUGCUCCAUCUCUCCAACACAACUACCAGGCAGGCGGCUGGCAGAGGUUAAGGCCUGACUUCUGCUCCCGGCGCGUCCGGGUUCAAAUCCGCCUGCCGACCUCUCGGGGUGUUUGAGAGGUGUUGAAAUGGGAGGUGGCCCCCCAUCUUGUGGACGGUGUAGGACGUGAUAAACUCAACUUGCGAGCUGACCAGGAACUAAGUUGACGCGCCGGUGAUCCGCUAGAUUUGGUUGGAUGCUGGUGGUGAGUUGCCAAACUCAAAGAGUACACUCUGAAGUCGGAUGGGGUGAAUGGAUUAGGGUACCCCUCUAGCAGGGGAGAGCAGGGAACUGCCUCGGGAAGGAGGCCACUGGUGAAGCUUAACCACCCUGUAACAACAUCAACUACCGGGAAAUUGACGCACACAGCCAGCCAGCCUGCCCGCCAGGCCCCAAGCCUGCGAUUCCCUCUCCACACACAUGCACACACAUACGAACGUACAUACACACACAUAGGAUUCCCUGCCGCAGCCCUCAAGCGGCCCCGGGCGGCUCCCCUCCCUCCGACCAGAACUGCUGAAGGAACUCCCGCUCCCCCAUCACCAGGAGGCCGCUGGCAGCCGCUUUACGCGUCUUGCGCUCCCCAGCCCCCGUACCGGCCAG
rnacentral:lncRNA from 1 species